GAAGCAAUUGAACAGCAGCUCGAAGGCACGACGAGUAGAAACUGACCAUUUACUAGGAACGAAGGGAGAGUGCUUCGUUAUCCAUGCGCGGCAAGGGAUGAGAGGUGGUAGAUUUUUGCGUGAAUAGGAAACUUUACUUGGUGGGCGUAAGCUCCCGCGAUCCGGGCUCGUACGCGGUGCGUACCCGCAGUGGCGAGUGCGUUGGCGACGCCCGAGCAGUUCGUCCGCAACCCAGUGUUUUCUGGGACGAGGAGAAAGGUGCCUGGCGUCUGGGCAUCGCCCUGACCUCUAUCGUCCUGUAGCGUGUCGUUUCGUGCUAUCUCGAGCACUAGGUCUAUUUGAGCGGCCUGCGGGAUCCCGGGAUAACGAAGCAAUUCGAACACGAGUCUCAUGAACCACACCUCGAGCUGGCGCCUUCCGUAGUAUGGCGAAACCGCUCCGUAUUCUUGCUGUGUCCGUAGCGGUGCCACAGGUGCUACUGGGAGCGCUCAAGCCAAGCUCGGCGCACGAUAAAACGUACGAAAAGAAGUAUCUCCGAGAGGAAGUAUGCGAAAUCGAACUGGGAGGUCUGGGGCCGUAUAAUGGUCGCUUUCCAGAAUACGAAUAUCCAUCGCGCAAUCGAGGAUCUCUGGUCGGUGGAAACGUUACGCUUAUCGAGAACAUCAACGGCCGCACGUCGCUCAGGCGAGCAGUGUUUCCCAGUGUGCUGCUCAUCCUGCGCUGGCAGCGUCACCGGUGCACGCAACGCGCACGUGCAGUUGCUGGACGCCAAGAACGCCCAGAGCGUGCCCUGAAGCGGACAAGGUAUCUAACAGGCCUCACACUGUCCAGAACAGUUGUAAAAAGCCGUUGGCCAUGCCCACGCGUACCAAUCCCCUGCUCCUGAUACGAGCAGACGCGGACCGAGCGACACACAGUCGGCACAGCGCGCUGCGCUGUAGCCUGGUCCGAAACUUGAACCCUGGUGUCGGUCGGCGGCCAAACUGGCUAAGCUGCAGCGUUCGAGUCGGGUACCACGGCAACGAUCUGCAACGAGCUCGACGGACCGCAGAGGCUCCUGCAUCAUCUCUAGAGCCGGCGCGAGCGGGCAGGCAAGCGAGCUCGUGCGUGCACUCGACAGACGGUGCUCGCUGAAACGGCGUGACACCUCGAAGGCACCUAGCGCACGCGCCGUACGAACUCGUUCACCAUCGUGCGGCAGUGACGUCAUGCAUUGGAUGUAGACCAGAUCGCAGACCUCGACAUACGCUGCGCUCAAUGUGAUCCUUCAAUCUCUCAAGCUCGAGCAUGCGCGUGCGAACAAGCACCAGACUCACAGAAUCAUGUACUGUGAAUAGACCAGAUCGCGAACGUCAAAGUACUCUGCGCUGAGUGAUCCUUCAAUCACCAAAUCGUGCUGACGCUUCCGAACGAGCACAAUACUCGGAGGCCGAUCGUUCUCGACGCAAAGCGCCCCACCGGCAAACUCCGCCGGCAUCAACGAUUUGGUCAUGAUUUCCUUCAAAUCGGAAAGUCGCAAAUCUCCGACGAAAACAUUAAGGUGUCCGACCUGCGUCCUUUCUGUUACGAGCGCGAACGUCGUCGUGUUAGCCGUGCGAUCGCCAUCGACUAGCGCUGUCGCUGCAGAGGCUGCGUCUGUUGUCUUCGCUGCCAACCAGGCUGCAUCGACUCCGGACUCCGUGCCUUCGGGGAGCUGCUGCUCCUGCUCCGUCUGUCGCUCGACGGAUACCAGGCGUAGCUGGCCGUCGGGAUCGGUCUGGAUAUAGCCAUCAAACCAGGCCAGUUCGUAAUCCUGCAUCCGCCGCCAGAAGCAACGUCGCAGCAGUGAAUCAUCGAGUUUGAUCCGGUAUACCGACGUGUCCGACGAGACAUCGACCAUCUCGCGCGCACGUGGCGCGUAUAAACGCGUAAAGUUCUUCUUGCCCAG